rnacentral:tRNA from 1 species
AAUUACUUGGCUGAACGCCCAAGCUGUUACCUUGAAAGUAACUUAAAAGAGUUUAACUCUCUUAGUAAUUU